UCUAAGGAAAGAGGGGUCAGCUCUCAGGGGUUGGGGGACCUUCUCCAACCCCUCCAGCAGUCAUCUGCAGCAUAUCCAGGGCCUCCCAGAAGAAAUCCUUCUGUGCAGCCAUCAAGGGCAUCCAGCCCACGAUCUCCUUCAUCUUUUCCAUGCGGUCUUGCCACGUGGAGCAACUAUAGAUCUGGCUGAGGUACUCCUCACAGGCCCGGGCUGUCCCACCGGGGUCCUGGGGUACUCCAGCCCCUGGGCUGGACUCGGGGGUCCCCACCACCCUGCUGGCCGGUAGGUCCCGAUAGGCGGGAUGGUGGUCGAUGUCAUGGCUAGAGAGCAUGUAGAGGCACUCUCUGGUAGAGCAGAGGGAGCAGGCACACAAAGGGACCUUGGAGGAAAGAAGGGGCAUGGCUGAGUGGGGCCUUUCCUGAGGGGUUCCCAGGAAUCCCCAGCUGUCGUGUUCCUCCCUCUCAGAGCAGCCCUGAGCCAGCAAGUGAGUGGGCUGGCUGAGCCCCAAGGUUGUGUGAGGUCAAAGAGGGCCAGCAGGGGCGGCUGAAGGAGACAGCCAGGAGCCAUGGGGUGCAGCAGGAAAGGGAGGUGGGUGGUGGUGGGGAACUGGAACCCCUGGGUGCCUGCAGGAGCCCUGGCUACAGUCCUAGGGGCCACCUGGUGCCAUUGCUCCUGCCCUCCCUGGUUGCCUGCUUGCCCGACCCUGCUCUGACCUUGAUGUGGAGCUUGACGAAGGAGGCACUCCCCUUAGGCCAGCCGGGGAGGCGGCCUCCAGCCCCACAGCCGCAGCCCAGCAGCUCCUUGCUGAAGUCCAAGCCCUGGCUCAGCACCAGGGAGUGGUUGAGGCCGCACCACAGGGCAAUGGGGCAUUGCAGAUAAUGUACCUGAGGACACAGGGCCAGGGUCCCUAAGGGGGGAACAGCAAGCGACUGGGGACCCGGGUUGGAGAAGGGUGACAGGAAGGCUCAGGGCAGAAUCUAGGGAAAGUAGGAGAGAGAAGAAAUGGGACCCAGCAUCCCCACCGACCCCCAGGAGAUCUGCCCUGCUGAAUGCGGAGGGCAGCAAUUCUCCCUCCUCGGUUCUCCAGCAGCCCCACACAGUCUGACCACAUGGGGUCUAGCACUUGUGGUUCUUCAUCUUUGCUCCCCAGAAAACAAGGGCCUGAGGCCAGGGCCUGCUAUCUAUUCCCUUAUUCUCACCCCACAGGCCUGUGCCAGCCUAGCCUCUCGUCCUGCCUUCCAGCCUCAGGGGGAGGAAUAUCCUUCCUCUUCCCAGGGCUCAAAGACUCUCCCUCCUAGUGCAAUUCCAGGCUCGCACCACCUAUACCGCCUCAGAUCUACCAAUUUCCAAACACCCUCUCUGCUUUAGUCAGGCCCAUCUUUUCACUGUCCCAGGUAUGUACAAGCUUCAUCUCCAUCCCCAACACACAGAAUGCCUUUCCCUAUACCCACCCAAAUCCUAUCUAACCCACUAGGCCCUGCUCACAUCUCACCUAUUCUAGUUACUCCCUGCCCACCCAGGUCUCCUGCUUUCCUCAAUUCCUAGCGCACUGACAGCAUGUACUGCAGAGGACAGACCUCGGAGUGCCAGCCAGUAGGAUGUGCAGCAGUGUGACCGGCACUACACACCGGCUGGCCUAACCUCCCUAGGGAACAGGAGAUAGAGUCCAAGGAAAGUGGAGAAGAGGGGAGAUCCAGGGGUUUGAGAAUCAUAGGAAGGGGGUCAGGAUUGCUGGGGAACAGUCUCACCUGUGUGGGUUCCCCUCGGUCCAUUUUGUCCCCUGUUCCCAGCUGCCCAUAUCUGUUAUUUCCCUGCAUAAAGAUUCGGCCGAAUUCAUCUACCAGGCCAAGGUGAUUAUAGCCAAGAGCACAGAAAAGGACCUAGGAGGAUCCUACCUUGGCAGGCAGUGAGAGAGCAAGCGGCAUCUGCUGGUCCAGGGGAUCAAAAGCUUGAAGGGUCCCAAAGAGAUCACGAUACACCCCUGGCACUCUCUAAGCCAUACAGGAUGAAACACUUACUGCCCUAGAGUGGGGCUGAAAGAAAAAGGGUGGAGAUGAACUAAGGGAAGAGCGACCUCAAGUUUCCCAGACUCCAGCCCCUUACCACCAAAAACAAAUCAAGGAAGUCCUUCAGUGUGAGAGAUGAGUAGCGAAAACCCAGCAGGUAGAUUUGGCAGAAUCCAAUUUGAAUGUUGGGAAUGAUGUCUGGGGAUUCAGGGCCUUACCUAGCAUCAAGAAGUCCAGAAGGUCUCAGGCUUGGGAGUGUGGUCAAAUAUAGGGGACAUUGAGAAAGUAGGACAGUUUGGGGUAUAAACUGAGAUGACUGGCAUGGAGGUUGGGGUGAUUAGAAUUUAAAAAACCAGGUCACUAGAACAGUGGUUUCCAAACUACUUUUUGCAGCAGGGCCCUUUAUUCAUAGGAAAUAUGCAGAAUCCUAGACUAGGAGACAGACAAAAGCAGAGCUAUUUGGUUUGAGACCAGAUGAGGUGGCAUGCAGAACCCUCCCCACAGCAGGUCCAAAAGAAUCUGCAGGAAACAAUCUGCAAACCACUGCUCAAGGCCACACCUGUGA